GCGGAAUGUCAAUUUCAAUAAUUAUACAAUACAAUACUACACAAAACACUAUUGGUUGCUAAAUAUUAUACAAAAGGGUAUUACAAUUGCUAACUGUUACAAUACAAACAUAUUACUUACAAGGCCCCAGCCCUUUGGCUGGGGUUAAGUCCAAGCUGGUACUACAUCUUAGGUUCAGUCAGGUACAGGCAAAAGGACAGAGUUUUCUCCUCCAUCUGGUUUUAUUCAGUGUAAGUAGGCUGGCCUGUGAUGUCACUGCCAGAAG